AUUGAACGCUGGCGGCAUGCCUUACACAUGCAAGUCGAACGGUAGGGGGGCAACCCCUGGGAGUGGCGAACGGGUGAGUAAUGCAUCGGAACGUGCCCAGUUGUGGGGGAUAACGUAGCGAAAGCUACGCUAAUACCGCAUACGACCUGAGGGUGAAAGGGGGGGAUCGCAAGACCUCUCGCAAUUGGAGCGGCCGAUGUCAGAUUAGCUAGUUGGUGGGGUAAAAGCCUACCAAGGCGACGAUCUGUAGCUGGUCUGAGAGGACGACCAGCCACACUGGGACUGAGACACGGCCCAGACUCCUACGGGAGGCAGCAGUGGGGAAUUUUGGACAAUGGACGCAAGUCUGAUCCAGCCAUGCCGCGUGCAGGAAGAAGGCCUUCGGGUUGUAAACUGCUUUUGUCAGGGAAGAAAUCCCUUGGGAUAGUACCUCGGGGGGAUGACGGUACCUGAAGAAUAAGCACCGGCUAACUACGUGCCAGCAGCCGCGGUAAGAC
rnacentral:rRNA from 1 species